rnacentral:rRNA from 1 species
AAAAGGUAACGGAGGCGCUCAAAGGUUCCCUCAGAAUGGUUGGAAAUCAUUCAUAGAGUGUAAAGGCAUAAGGGAGCUUGACUGCGAGACCUACAAGUCGAGCAGGGUCGAAAGACGGACUUAGUGAUCCGGUGGUUCCGCAUGGAAGGGCCAUCGCUCAACGGAUAAAAGCUACCCCGGGGAUAACAGGCUUAUCUCCCCCAAGAGUUCACAUCGACGGGGAGGUUUGGCACCUCGAUGUCGGCUCAUCGCAUCCUGGGGCUGUAGUCGGUCCCAAGGGUUGGGCUGUUCGCCCAUUAAAGCGGUACGCGAGCUGGGUUCAGAACGUCGUGAGACAGUUCGGUCCCUAUCCGUCGUGGGCGUAGGAAAUUUGAGAGGAGCUGUCCUUAGUACGAGAGGACCGGGAUGGACAUACCUCUGGUGUACCAGUUGUCGUGCCAACGGCAUAGCUGGGUAGCUAUGUGUGGACGGGAUAAGUGCUGAAAGCAUCUAAGCAUGAAGCCCCCCUCAAGAUGAGAUUUCCCAACUUCGGUUAUAAGAUCCCUCAAAGAUGAUGAGGUUAAUAGGUUCGAGGUGGAAGCAUGGUGACAUGUGGAGCUGACGAAUACUAAUCGAUCGAAGACUUAAUCAA